UAUACUUAAACCUUAUAAUAAGUCGCUGGUCUGAAUUAUAUACCUAUAGGGGUGAAGUGAAUUAUAGGUAGGAUAUAUAAUUAAUUUAAGAGAGAUGCUUUAUAGUGCCCCUUGGAAGCUUUGUAUUAUAUAUCGAACUAUAAGAGAGAGAGAGAGAGAGAGAGAGAGAGAGAGAGAGAGAGAGAGAGAGAGAGAGAGAGAGAGA